UACGUAGGUGGCAAGCGUUGUCCGGAUUUACUGGGCGUAAAGAGCGCGCAGGCGGUCGUUCAAGUCGCGUGUGAAAGCCCCCGGCUCAACUGGGGAGGGUCACGCGAUACUGAUCGACUCGAAGGCAGGAGAGGGUAGUGGAAUUCCUGGUGUAGCGGUGAAAUGCGUAGAUAUCAGGAGGAACACCUGCGGUGUAGACGGCUUCCUGGACCGUUACUGACGCUGAGACACGAAAGCGUGGGGAGCAAACAGG
rnacentral:rRNA from 1 species